GAUGAAGAACGUAGCGAAAUGCGAUAAGUAGUGUGAAUUACAGAAUUCAGUGAAUCAUCGAAUCUUUGAACGCACAUUGCGCCCCUUGGUAUCCCGAGGGGCAUGCCUGUUCGAGCGUCAUUUCACCACUCAAGCCUGGCUUGGUGUUGGGCGACGUCCCCUUUAGGGACGCGCCUCGAAACGCUCGGCGGCGUGGCACCGGCUUUAAGCGUAGCAGAAUCUUUCGCUUUGGAAGUCGGGGCCCCGCCUGCCGGAAUACCUACUCGUAAGGUUGACCUCGGAUCAGGCAGGGAUACCCGCUGAACUUAAGCAUAUCAAUAAGCGGAGGA
rnacentral:misc_RNA from 1 species